rnacentral:misc_RNA from 1 species
CGUUGAUUGUCGCCCUCUUGACUGCAGCAUAUCGCAUUGUGCAUUGUCAGUGGAACAAAAAUGACUGAACAUUUGACAAAGAGGACAAUUGAUUACGUAGACCAGGAUGUGUCAGAAUCUCAGAAUGAGGACACGUCUCAGUCGAAAAAAGUGAAAUGGGACUCGGAUGAAAGAAACAUAGAUAUCAGUGAAAAUACUCCAAAGCAACAACAAGACGAGGAUCGAAACAACAGCAAUGGUCCCGUGAAAGUGAAGGUAACUGUUUCUGAAUUCACCGAACGUUUAAAAGUCCCAGUUCCUGAUCCAAUUCCAUAUCGCAUUGUUGUAAAUGAGAAAUGCAAGGACAGAAACUUUGAUGACGAGGCGCAAAAAGCGUCGCACAUACUAAAAAAUAUAGUAAUGGAGAAAAUGAAUGAUAAACUGACCGAUGAUUCUUCAAUGUCAGCAUUUCAAAGAGUUCAACAACAAGAUGACCAACCCAUGGUGGCUUUGCCAUGUAAAGCUCAAUAUUCACGCCCAGCGUUACCAGUACAUCAUUUUCCUUCCCAAAGAGGUUUCUAUCCUCCGUUCGUGCGACAGAACUUUGCUGGAUUUGGAAAUCUGACAUCACUUCCCCGAGUAGGAAUACCAAGGAUGGUUGAACAAUCGGGAAAGAUUAUGGUUCAACCAAUCCCACCCGUGCCCUCCGUAACGAUUAGAAAUUUACCACCAAUUCACGGGAUUGUACCAGCUAGAACAUUUAUUCAGACGUCAACCGGAACAGUGGCCCAAGAAACAGGAACCAUAACAUCGAUGAAUGAUCAAGCAUAUGGUUUGCCGAGUAGCGAGUACUUUAGCAAGAUCACAAGUCCGGCUAUUAAAGCGACAACAGUUCAAGUCAUGCCUGGUACCUCUAUGACGUAUAAAACCCCAGGUGCCUCGCAUAAGAACAGACAUGGCAAAGUCAAGCGGCCGAUGAAUGCGUUUAUGGUUUGGGCGCGAAACUACAGGAGUCGUCUUUCUGAGGAAAUGCCACAAGCUUCCAAUGCACAAAUCAGUGUUCGACUCGGCCAGAUCUGGGGCAGUAUGCCGCUUGCCGACAAGGAAAAGUACUUCAGAGAAGCGGAACGUAUCAAGCUUCAACACAACAGAGAUUUUCCAGGAUGGGUGUACCAACCAAAACAGAAGAAAAUGCCAUCAGAGAGCCAGCAUGACCGUCUCUGGGCAAGAUUUGGAUCAAACACAUGUAAGGACCAACCUAAAGAGAUGACAAGCAAUACCUGUCAGGAAGGGAUAGCACCUACUGUUCAUCAAAUCAUGACCCCGACUCCCGUCACUGUUUAUCCCAAAACACUCAUCGCCAACACACCUAAUAUUUCCAUGACGUCACCACUUCCUUCGUUUUCCCAGCUGACGCAGACUGUUUCCGACCCCACACCUAUUGUGUCCCUCGAGACGGGAAGACAUCCGACCCCGGGGUCUCUUGCUACUACAGACAGUAUAAAGUCAGGACCUGUGAGUGGGUCUAUUGACAGUAGCCAAGGACCUGCCAGAAGACCAACAGCCUUCCAAGUAGUGAGCAGUAGUCAACCACCGGCCUUCGCCGUGCAACCUUCGCCCAAGAUAGAGCAUGAGCUAACAUCACAUUUGACGGUAUCUAAGACAGGUCAUUAUCCACUGAAGAUGUCUACAUCUUCCUUGAUGGCCACCGGAAGUCCUACAAACGGAAGUGUUAGAUCACUGUCCAGUAGUACAGUGACAGGAUGCCCCUCUCCUAAAGGUCGACCUCCAAGUAUUUCUCGUAGAGUUUCACUUUCAGAAACACCAGCAAUGCUGAUUUCCGCACAGCGUGCCUAUCAGGAAGCGAGAAUGACUAGGAGCCAUUCUGAUGGUCCAAGUAAAACCAAGCCUACAACUUCUUCUGGACCCAUCACUACUACCCGUAUUUCGGACCAGAGGCAGAAAUCCGACGCCGCGCCCCUAACGACGGUCAGUGACGUAAGACCGCCCGGAUCACAGAGACCUUCAAAGUGUGCAGACCCAGUAGACGAGUUGUGGCCGUUCCCUCUCCCCACGGUUGAACACACUCCCCAUGUGGACGUACUCUAUGAUGGACCCUAAGGCCUGGUAUGAAACAUCUAAGGGAUUAUAUAGACAGAGCACGAAAUAUGGAAUAUCUACAAUUGACUUUGCACUACUUUUAACGAGAAUAUUUGGCCGUGAUUGCUUAAUAUGCAGAUCAUCUCCGAUACGAGCGCGAGAGCGGCCCCGGGUACAUUGAUCCCUACAACCCGUUCUAUUACGAUGGUAGCUAUGACGACACACGGU